AAGGUUCGACUCGAGCGCCAGCGAGAGAACGUUGCCGCAGGCAACGGCCCGAAG
rnacentral:sRNA from 1 species